rnacentral:misc_RNA from 1 species
AAGUCGUAACAAGGUUUCCGUAGGUGAACCUGCGGAAGGAUCAUUAUUGAAGUUUGUUAAGAGACUGUUGCUGGACUCUCUUGGGAGUUAAUGUGCACGUCUUUUACACAUCUUUUUAACCACCUGUGCACCUUUUGUAGACUUGGAAUAAAUCUGUCAACAGAUGUUGGAUGUGAAGUUUGCUUUUGUUUAAAGUAAGGAUGCACUUUUAUUAGUAUGAACUUUUCACAAGUUCAAUCCUGAAGAAAGCUCUCUUCUACUUUGUUUCAUUCAUUUGAAAUAAAUCUAUCAACAAAUGUUGGAUGUGAAGACCGCUGUUGUUAACCCAUCUCGGCCCUCUUCUACUUUUCCAAGUCUAUGUUUAUACAUACACUUAUAAUAAAUAAUGGAAUGAUAGUCUUCUUGACUCUAAACUAUAUACAACUUUCAACAAUGGAUCUCUUGGUUCUC